GUGGAGCCUGCGGCUUAAUUUGACUCAACACGGGAAACCUCACCAGGCCCGGACACCAGAAGGAUUGACAGAUUAAGAGCUCUUUCUCGAUUUGGUGGGUGGUGGUGCAUGGCCGUUCUUAGUUGGUGGAGUGAUUUGUCUGGUUAAUUCCGGUAACGAACGAGACUCUGGCCUACUAAAUAGUCGACGGGCGUUUUGGUGCAUGGGCCCCGUUCGACACAGUCUUCUUAGAGGGAUGAGCAGCGAGUAUAGCUGCAGGAGAUUGAGCAAUAACAGGUCUGUGAUGCCCUUAGAUGUCCUGGGCCGCACGCGCGCUACACUGAAUGGGUUAGCGGGUUGUCCUUCUCCGAGAGGAGCGGGAAAUCGCUUGAAAACCAUUCGUGAUAGGGAUUGGGGCUUGCAAUUGUUUCCCAUGAACGAGGAAUUCCCAGUAAGCGCAAGUCAUCAGCUUGCGUUGAUUAAGUCCCUGCCCUUUGUACACACCGCCCGUCGCUACUACCGAUUGAAUGAUUUAGUGAGGCCUUCGGACUGGCGGUCUUGGACUGGGGCGCCGGCUUCUCCAGCAAUGGGUCGCCGGUGACCCGCCUAGACGGGCCGGAAAGAUGUCCAAACUUGAUCAUUUAGAGGAAGUAAAAGUCGUAACAAGGUUUCC
rnacentral:rRNA from 1 species